rnacentral:rRNA from 1 species
UUAAGCCAUGCAUGCCUAAGUCUUGGCUCUAGUACAGUGAAACCACGAAUGGCUCAUUAAAUCAGCUAUUGUUCAUUAGAUCAUAACCGUUACAUGGAUAACUGUAGUAAUUCUAGAGCUAAUACAUGCCUCGAUGCCGUGACCCGUAAGGGGAUCGGUGCACUUAUUAGAACAAGACCAACCAGGUAGCUAGGCUUAAUUGUUUAGUGGCCUGUUGUGUCGUGUUGACUCUGGAUAAUUACGACAGAUCGCAGUCGACCUUUGUUGUCGGCGACAAUUCUUUCAAAUGUCUGCCCUAUCAACUUACGAUGGUAGGCGACCUGCCUACCAUGGUGAUAACGGGUAACGGGGAAUCAGGGUUCGAUUCCGGAGAGGGAGCCUGAGAAACGGCUACCACAUCCAAGGAAGGCAGCAGGCGCGCAAAUUACCCACUCCCGGCACGGGGAGGUAGUGACGAAAAAUAACGAUGCGGGACUCCUACGAGGCUCCGUAAUCGGAAUGAGAACACUCUAAAUCCUUUAACGAGGACCAAUUGGAGGGCAAGUCUGGUGCCAGCAGCCGCGGUAACUCCAGCUCCAAUAGCGUAUAUUAAAGUUGCUGCAGUUAAAAAGCUCGUAGUUGGAUCUUGACGGCAUUACUGCGUGUUUGGGUUUCAUUGUUUUGCUUAUGUCAUGUAUCUGCAUGCAUAUAGUGUAAACGUAUGUGCGUGUACGGUAUAAUGGUUCUGGGCACAGUGUACCCAACUCGUCGGUGGUGAAGUCUUUCAGCCGUGUCUGUUUUCUUUACAUUUUGUAUGCUUUUCGCAUUGAAUUAUGCAUUAGUAUUACAGAUUGUAUAAGGUGCAGGUGCUGAUAGUUGGAAUUUUGGGUUUUUCCCAGCCUUCUGUUGGUACGCCUCGUGAUGCUCUUAACUGAGCCGUCGCGAGUGUGGACGGCAUGUUUACUUUGAACAAAUUUGAGUGCUCAAAGCAGGCCUACGUGCCUGAAAAGUCUUGCAUGGAAUAAUGGAAUAGGACUUCGGUUCUAUUUUGUUGGUUUUCGGUUCCGAAGUAAUGGUUAAGAGAGACAGACGGGGGCAUUUGUAUGGCGGUGUUAGAGGUGAAAUUCUUGGAUCGCCGCCAGACAAUCUGAAGCGAAAGCAUUUGCCAGGAAUGUUUUCAUUGACAAAGAGCGAAAGUCAGAGGUUCGAAGACGAUCAGAUACCGUCCUAGUUCUGACCAUAAACGAUGCCAACUGACGAUCCGCGGUGGUAGUACAUAUCGUCCCCGCGGGCAGUCUCCGGGAAACCUGUAAGUCUUUGGGUUCCGGGGGAAGUAUGGUUGCAAAGCUGAAACUUAAAGGAAUUGACGGAAGGGCACCACCAGGAGUGGAGCCUGCGGCUUAAUUUGACUCAACACGGGAAAACUCACCCGGCCCGGACACUGUGAGGAUUGACAGAUUGACAGCUCUUUCUUGAUCCAGUGGUUGGUGGUGCAUGGCCGUUCUUAGUUGGUGGAGCGAUUUGUCUGGUAAUCCGAAACG